UUCAGGGGUAAACCUGAGAAACCCGAAAGGUCGAAAGGGGAAAUUCAUUCGCGUCUCGACCGUCGGAGCGGGGCGAUCGCGCGACGGACGGCGUACGCGUCGUCCGCGCCUUUCGUUCCGCGAUCCGGCGUCGAACGCGUGCACUUUUCCCCUAGUAGGACGUCGCGAUCCGUUGGGUGUCGGUCUAAGGCUCGCGGUGGAGCCCGAGCGUGCGUCUUCGGGCGUUCGCGCUCGGACCCGCGGUGUCCCGGCCGACCCGCUCGACGGUAUACAGAUGGCGCGGGGCCGCAAAUUCAAUUUGCGUUCGGCCCGCGGCAAGCGCGUACGGUGUUGACGGCGAUCGGACCCGGUGCCGAUCCCGUCCCCGGACGACUGUUGGCUGCGGUGCUCUCGAACAGACCUCGUUCGAAACGCCGAUCUGCGACGCUAUAGCUUUGGGUACUUUCAGGACCCACGGACCAAGGAGUCUAGCAUGUGCGCGAGUCAUUGGGACAUAACUAAACCUAAAGGCGCAAUGAAAGUGAAGGUCCGCCUCGCGCGGACCGAGGGAGGAUGGGCGGUUCGUACUCCGUGCGGCCGCUCCGCACUCCCGGGGCGUCUCGUUCUCAUCGCGAGAAGAGGCGCACCAAGAGC
rnacentral:rRNA from 1 species